UGCAAGAUCUACAACUCCCAUAGGUAUGC
rnacentral:sRNA from 1 species